CUCACUUCCCCCUCCAACCCCCCGCCCUGUCCCUGCUCCCUUCCCUGCCCAGCACAGGGAGCCUGGGGCCAAUUGGCUCCCCCAUACGAUCAAAUGUCACUAUAAGUUGAGAGCUGCUCCACCUUGGGAGGCUCGCAGAUCCCAGCCUGCCUGUCCCCUUCAGCAGGGGGCUCGGUGCUACUCUCUGUUCCUCCCAGAAACUCAUUGCCAACAUGUCUGAUACUGAGGAAGUGGAGCAAGGAGAGGGUAAGUCUUAAUUCUGUCUCUAAUUGCUUCCAUGCAAGCCUUCAGCAUUUGCUGGCCGUGUCCAUCUUCUCCUUUCUGCCCACUGUUGAGAUUUUAACAAGACGUCUCACCACGGUUAGGCAAAUCAGAGUUUUCUUUUCUCUCUGUAUGUUUGUCUAUCACCAGCUUCUGGUGAUUUCACACCCCUUGUAGCACAGGAAGUCUUGUCUGUCUUUGUGCUGCAGGCAGCCCUCGGGGUUUCAGCCCCGCACUGAUGCCCUGUUUGCAGGGGACGCUGCUAUUUUUCGUAGGGGCACUGCCAUCUGCUGGCAAUUCGUUUUGAGGCUCUUGUAUGCGCAGUAUUUUCUGUUUUAAAACGUACCCCCCC